rnacentral:sRNA from 2 species
CUGCGCCGCCCUUCGCGAAAGGGUGUUUCCUCCCUAGACUAGAGGCCGCCUCCCGGAUGAGCGCGGCCUUUUUUUUGUUAAGU